CCUACGGGAGGCAGCAGUGAGGAAUUUUGCACAAUGGAGGAAACUCUGAUGCAGCGACGCCGCGUGAAGGACGAAGGGGCUUUGCCCUGUAAACUUCUGUCGGAUGGGAAAAAAAGUUCGGUCGCCGGACUGGGAUUGUACCAUCAAAGGAAGGGUCGGCUAACUACGUGCCAGCAGCCGCGGUAAUA
rnacentral:rRNA from 1 species